GACGAACGCUGGCGGCGUACUUAACACAUGCAAGUCGAACGGAAAGGCCCUGCUUUUGUGGGGUGCUCGAGUGGCGAACGGGUGAGUAACACGUGAGUAACCUGCCCUUGACUUUGGGAUAACUUCAGGAAACUGGGGCUAAUACCGGAUAGGAGCUCCUGCUGCAUGGUGGGGGUUGGAAAGUUUCGGCGGUUGGGGAUGGACUCGCGGCUUAUCAGCUUGUUGGUGGGGUAGUGGCUUACCAAGGCUUUGACGGGUAGCCGGCCUGAGAGGGUGACCGGCCACAUUGGGACUGAGAUACGGCCCAGACUCCUACGGGAGGCAGCAGUGGGGAACAUUGCACAAUGGGCGGAAGCCUGAUGCAGCAACGCCGCGUGCGGGAUGACGGCCUUCGGGUUGUAAACCGCUUUCGCCUGUGACGAAGCGUGAGUGACGGUAAUGGGUAAAGAAGCACCGGCUAACUACGUG
rnacentral:rRNA from 1 species